AUACGUAGGUGGCAAGCGUUGUCCGGAAUUAUUGGGCGUAAAGCGCGCGCAGGUGGUUCCUUCAGUCUGAUGUGAAAGCCCCCGGCUCAACCGGGGAGGGUCAUUGGAAACUGGGGAACUUGAGUGCAGAAGAGGAUAGUGGAAUUCCAAGUGUAGCGGUUAAAUGCGUAGAGAUUUGGAGGAAAACCAGUGGCGAAGGCGGCUUUCUGGGCGCUAACUGGCACUUAGGGCCUAAAGCGUUGAGAGCAAGCAAGAUUAGAUACCCUGGUAGACCACGCCGUAAACGAUGAGUGCUAAGUGUUGGGAGGGUUCCGCCCCUCAGUGCUGCAGCUAACGCAUUAAGCACUCCGCCUGGGGAGUACGGUCGCAAGACUGAAACUCAAAGGAAUUGACGGGG
rnacentral:rRNA from 1 species